CUAGCGACUUCAGAGUUUGAUCCUGGCUCAGGACGAACGCUGGCGGCGUGCCUAACACAUGCAAGUCGAGCGGGGAAAGUUCUUCGGAACUUUCUAGCGGCGGACGGGUGAGUAACGCGUGAGCAAUCUGUCCCAUACAGGGGGAUAACAACUGGAAACAGUUGCUAAUACCGCAUGAGACCACAGAGCCGCAUGGUUCAGGGGUCAAAGGAGCAAUCCGGUAUGGGGUGAGCUCGCGUCCGAUUAGCUAGUUGGUGAGGUAACGGCCCACCAAGGCAACGAUCGGUAGCCGACCUGAGAGGGUGAUCGGCCACAUUGGAACUGAGACACGGUCCAA
rnacentral:rRNA from 1 species